CCUACGGGAGGCAGCAGUGGGGAAUAUUGCACAAUGGGCGAAAGCCUGAUGCAGCAACGCCGCGUGAAGGAAGAAGGCCUUCGGGUCGUAAACUUCUGUCCUUGGGGAAGAAGAACUGACGGUACCCAAGGAGGAAGCCCCGGCUAACUACGUGCCAGCAGCCGCGGUAAUACGUAGGGGGCAAGCGUUAUCCGGAAUUAUUGGGCGUAAAGAGUACGUAGGUGGCAACCUAAGCGCAGGGUUUAAGGCAAUGGCUCAACCAUUGUUCGCCCUGCGAACUGGGAUGCUUGAGUGCAGGAGAGGAAAGCGGAAUUCCUAGUGUAGCGGUGAAAUGCGUAGAUAUCACGCAGAACUCCGAUUGCGAAGGCAGCAUACCGGCGCCCGACUGACGCUGAGGCACGAAAGCGUGGGGAUCGAACAGGAUUAGAUACCCUAGUAGUC
rnacentral:rRNA from 1 species